UACGUAGGGCGCAAGCGUUGUCCGGAAUCAUUGGGCGUAAAGAGCUCGUAGGUGGUCUGUUACGUCUGCUGUGAAAUCCUAGGGCUUAACCCUGGGCCUGCAGUGGAUACGGGCAGACUAGAGGUAGGUAGGGGAGACUGGAAUUCCUGGUGUAGCGGUGAAAUGCGCAGAUAUCAGGAGGAACACCGGUGGCGAAGGCGGGUCUCUGGGCCGUAACUGACGCUGAGGAGCGAAAGCGUGGGGAGCGAACAGG
rnacentral:rRNA from 1 species